rnacentral:rRNA from 1 species
CUUUAAAUUUAAAGAAUUUGGCGGUGGUUUAGUCUGGUUAGAGGAACCUGUGUUAUAAACGAUACUACACGCAUUAUCUUACUUAUUUUAGUAAAUCAGUUUGUAUACCGUCAUUAUUAGAUAAUUUAUGAGAAAAUAUUAUUGAAGUCAUAUUAUUGAGUAUAUUAGAUCAAGGUGCAGCUUAUGAGUAAGUAAAUAUGGGUUACAAUAAAAUUUAUUUAAUAUGAAUUAGGUAUUUAAAUAUACUUAUGAAGGAGGAUUUAAUUGUAAGAAAAAAAUAGUAAGAUUUUUUGAUAAAAGCUCUAAAUUAU